CUGCAACGGCACAUGUGGCUUUCCACACCCUCCGAAGCUUUAAGACUGGUAGUGGGGAUGGGGAGAGAGUGGCCUCUAAGGGGAGGUCAGAGAAUUGUUGCUGAGAGCAGCAGGAAUGGAGCCAGGGCCUCCAUGCCACCUUCAAGGUUGGUGCUGGUCCCAGUUUCUACACUGCAGCAGAGGAGAAGACCAAGGCUCCCAGGAAUGAAGGAAUUGUCCCACUCCGGGAUACAUGCCAGGUCCUGACAUCACUGUUUAUGCUCAGCAACAAGCAGCCCAUAAGCUCAUGCAUACAAGAGGUGGCCAAGUGUAUGCAGCAACAGGAGGAGGAAGCAAGAGCACAGGGACCACUGUCUACAUGAGGCAGGGGGUCGCUACCUGCCUCAGACACCUGGCAGAGGUUCUCAGUUGGGACCAGUGGACACCAUGACAACUUAGAGUGACUCCAGGACUGGUUGAAGGGACAUCAUCUGGGACAUUGACUCAGAAGGGGGUCUUCCCUAUGAAUCUGGCUUGCCCUUUCUUCUCCACAGGGGAGCGUUCUGAGGUCCUGAGGGGUGGGGUAACUUAAUGUCAGGAUCUCGGUCCAAUCCCUUAGAUUACUGUGCGUUCAGACCCAUUGUCCAUUUUAACACUCAAAAUCCUUUAACUGCAUGUAGUAUAACUAAAUACAGACUCAUGUCUGUGUUUUCAUGAUCAAAAGUAUAAACAACAUUUUUUUUUGAGACAGUGUCUUGCUACAUUGUGAGGCUGGCCUUGAACCUGUCAUC
rnacentral:lncRNA from 1 species